UACGAAGGUCCCAAGCGUUAUCCGGAUUUAUUGGGUUUAAAGGGUGCGUAGGCGGUCUAUUAAGUCAGUGGUGAAAGCCCCAAGCUCAACUUGGGAACUGCCAUUGAUACUGAUGGACUUGAGUACAUUUGAGGUGGGCGGAAUGUGUCAUGUAGCGGUGAAAUGCUUAGAUAUGACACAGAACACCGAUUGCGAAGGCAGCUCACUAAACUGUACUGACGCUGAGGCACGAAAGCGUGGGGAGCAAACAGG
rnacentral:rRNA from 1 species